CCUACGGGUGGCUGCAGUGGGGAAUAUUGGGCAAUGGGCGCAAGCCUGACCCAGCAACGCCGCGUGAGUGAUGACGGCCUUCGGGUUGUAAAGCCCUGUCUUCAGGGACGAUAAUGACGGUACCUGAGGAGGAAGCCACGGCUAACUACGUGCCAGCAGCCGCGGUACUACGUAGGUGGCGACCGUUGUCCGGAUUUACUGGGCGUAAAGGGAGGGGAGGCGGACUUUUAAGUGAGAUGUGAAAUACUCGGGCUCAACUUGAGUGCUGCAUUUCAAACUGUAAGUCUAGAGUGCAGGAGAGGAGAAUGGAAUUCCUAGUGUAGCGGUGAAAUGCGUAGAGAUUAGGAAGAACACCAGUGGCGAAGGCGAUUCUCUGGACUGUAACUGACGCUGAGGCUCGAAAGCGUGGGGAGCAAACAGGAUUAGAUACCCGGGUAGUC
rnacentral:rRNA from 1 species